CUGGCGGCAGGCCUAACACAUGCAAGUCGAGCGCUCACUUCGGUGGGAGCGGCGGACGGGUUAGUAACGCGUGGGAAUAUGCCCGGUACUAAGGAAUAGCCUUUGGAAACGAAGAGUAAUACCUUAUACGCCCUUCGGGGGAAAGAUUUAUCGGUAUCGGAUUAGCCCGCGUAAGAUUAGAUAGUUGGUGGGGUAAUGGCCUACCAAGUCUACGAUCUUUAGCUGGUUUUAGAGGAUGAUCAGCAACACUGGGACUGAGACACGGCCCAGACUCCUACGGGAGGCAGCAGUGGGGAAUCUUAGACAAUGGGCGAAAGCCUGAUCUAGCCAUGCCGCGUGAGUGAUGAAGGCCCUAGGGUCGUAAAGCUCUUUCAACUGUGAAGAUAAUGACGGUAGCAGGAGAAGAAACCCCGGCUAACUCCGUGCCAGCAGCCGCGGUAAUACGGAGGGGGUUAGCGUUGUUCGGAAUUACUGGGCGUAAAGCGUACGUAGGCGGAUUAAUAAGUUAGAGGUGAAAUCCCAGGGCUCAACCCUGGAACUGCCUUUAAAACUGUUAGUCUUGAGAUCGAGAGAGGUGAGUGGAAUUCCAAGUGUAGAGGUGAAAUUCGUAGAUAUUUGGAGGAACACCAGUGGCGAAGGCGGCUCACUGGCUCGAUACUGACGCUGAGGUACGAAAGUGUGGGGAGCAAACAGGAUUAGAUACCCUGGUAGUCCACACCGUAAACGAUGAAUGCCAGUCGUCGGCAAGUAUACUUGUCGGUGACACACCUAACGGAUUAAGCAUUCCGCCUGGGGAGUACGGUCGCAAGAUUAAAACUCAAAGGAAUUGACGGGGGCCUGCACAAGCGGUGGAGCAUGUGGUUUAAUUCGAA
rnacentral:rRNA from 1 species